rnacentral:rRNA from 1 species
GGGCCCGCACAAGCGGUGGAGCAUGUGGUUUAAUUCGACGAUACGCGAAGAACCUUACCAGGGUUUGACAUUCACGUGGCGACGGCAGAGAUGUCGUUUUUCGGAUUUAUUCGGACACGUGGACAGGUGCUGCAUGGCUGUCGUCAGCUCGUGCUGUGAGGUGUUGGGUUAAGUCCCGCAACGAGCGCAACCCUUGUCCUUAGUUGCCAUCAGGUGAUGCUGGGCACUCUGGGGAGACCGCCCGGGUCGACCGGGAGGAAGGUGGGGAUGACGUCAAGUCAGCAUGGCCCUUACGUCCUGGGCUACACACGUGCUACAAUGGCCGGUACAACGAGUUGCUAAACCGCGAGGUCAAGCGAAUCUCUUAAAGCCGGUCUUAGUUCGGAUUAGAGGCUGCAAUUCGCCUCUAUGAAGUUGGAAUCGCUAGUAACCGCAGAUCAGCUACGCUGCGGUGAAUACGUUCCCGGGCCUU